UAAAGCAUGUAUAACAUUAUAGUCGUCGAAAUGAAAAAUAGGAAAUUCUUAAUUUUAAUUUUAGUUCAGCAGUUCCAGUAUUAAGAUUAAACCACGAAGAUAGUUACUUAUGCGGAAACAAGAAACUGGAUCAUCUCGAAUCCAUGAAUUUGAGGCGGUUUAUCGUGAUUCUUCACGCCAAAGUGCUUAUCUCGCGGCAGAGAAACGUUUAUUGUACUUCACGGUGAAACGAGCAUAAACAAGGAUAAAGCAAACUAACUGAUGCAUGAGAAUCAACGAAUUGAUCGUGGUUAAUCAUUAGAGCAAUAAAAAACAUCUGUCUUGUUUCACUUUGUACCGUUGCAAUAGAUUUGAUCGUUUUCUUCUUCAAUCUCUCUUAUAGUACACAUUGGCCAUUGUAGCAUGGAAAUUCGUUCUUCUCGUUGUAAAAUGUACCUAAGGAUUGAUGGAAAAAAUAAGUUAUAUUGAUGGAAGAAUGCUGUAUCCGAAGAAUAAAGAUGGAGAUCGAUUAUCAUGAGGAGGAAGAAAAGGAGAGGAAAUGAGGAGAAAAACGAGAUAGUGAGAAGAAUAAUAAUUUAAAUAGCGCGAUUUAAUGCUACAGGACACAUGGAUAGGCGCAAGCGCACAUUCCAUUGUAUGUUUCUUCGAAUUACUUAUAUGCAUCGAGAUAAAUAUGAUGAUUAUAAAAACCAAACUAACGAUUUGGUUACAUAGCCAAUAAAAUGUAACAUGAAUAAUCAUAUUGUCGUAUUAGUCAUAUUCUCGUAUUAAAAAAAAAAAAAGAAAAAAAACAUGGAGAUAAAAGAAAGAAUCAAAGGAAAGAAUAAUAAAUGAUAAUGACGAAUAAGCAAGUUGACUGCGCAAGUAUAAAUACGCACGCGUGUAAACGUCUAGUAAAUUCAGUUAAUGCAUUGUAAUGUUUAAUAGUAAUAUAAAACUAUAUCAAAAGAAGACAAUGGUAAAAAAUCAUAAUAAUUUGAUAUUUGAAGUUGUGAGUAAUAAUCAUAAGCGAAGGAAAAUAGAAAUUUGGAGCAAUUUGUUGUCCGAUAUAAAUUUACGAAGGAUGUAGAAUGAAAACUUCUUAUAAUAAGAAAUUCUAGUGCAUAAAUACUAGUGAUUUUAAUCUUCAUCAAAACAGAAGUGAAAUAUAUAUUAUAUAUUUCGCCGUGAUAGAAGUUGUAAACAUAUAUUUGAAAGAAUAAAAUUGAAUAUGAGAGGUACACAAAUUUCAUGGAUGAUAUAUAAUAAAUGACAAAUUUGAAUAAUAUCAAACAAAGAACGAAAACAAACCGCGUCGCCAUCUUUCAUUAAAGCUACACAACAGCUCUUUUUCCUCUUGCUCAGCCAAUUAUGCUAUAUUUCUUCUUCUUCGCUGUGUUAUCGACGAUGAACAUUCUUAACAAAAAGUAUUAAUUCUUUGGUUGAUCAUAA